rnacentral:tRNA from 1 species
GCCUUUGUGGUGAAAUGGAUAUCACAGCAACCUUCUAAGUUGUUAGUUUCUGGUUCGAAUCCAGGCAAAGGCA